CCUCAGCGUCAAGACCCGCACGGCGGCCGGCGAGUACGCGGCGCCCUUCGACGACGCCAACGACGUCUUCCUCCUCUUCAACCCCUGGUGCCCCGAUGACCUUGUCUACAUGGAGACCACAAGCGACCUUAACGAGUACGUCCUUAACGAGUCGGGGCGCAUCUUCUACGGCACGGAGGCGCAGAUCGCCGAGCGCUCCUGGAACUACGGGCAGUUUGACGCCGGCGUGCUCGAGGCCUGCCUCCACAUCCUGGACCGCCGGGGG